rnacentral:tRNA from 1 species
AUUCAUAUAGUUUAAAAAAACAUUAUAUUUUCAUUGUAAAAUUAGAAUAAUUUCUUAUGAAUA